GUGCUCACAUUGACAGCAAAUAUACUAAAAUUAGAAAGAUACAGAGAAGAUUAACAUGACCCCUAUACAAGAAUGAUAUGCAAAUUCUUGAAGUGUUUCAUAUUUUU
rnacentral:snRNA from 1 species